AAAGGAAUUGACAGGGGCCCGCACAAGCGGUGGAGCAUGUGGUUUAAUUCGACGCAACGCGCAGAACCUUACCAGCCCUUGACAUGUCCAGACCGGUCGCAGAGAUGUGACCUUCUCUUCGGAGCCUGGAGCACAGGUGCUGCAUGGCUGUCGUCAGCUCGUGUCGUGAGAUGUUGGGUUAAGUCCCGCAACGAGCGCAACCCCCGUCCUUAGUUGCUACCAUUUAGUUGAGCACUCUAAGGAGACUGCCGGUGAUAAGCCGCGAGGAAGGUGGGGAUGACGUCAAGUCCUCAUGGCCCUUACGGGCUGGGCUACACACGUGCUACAAUGGCGGUGACAAUGGGAUGCAAAGGCGCGAGCCCUAGCAAAUCUACAAAAAGCCGUCUCAGUUCGGAUUGGGCUCUGCAACUCGAGCCCAUGAAGUUGGAAUCGCUAGUAAUCGUGGAUCAGCAUGCCACGGUGAAUACGUUCCCGGGCCUUGUACACACCGCCCGUCACACCAUGGGAGUUGGUUUUACCUGAAGGUAGUGCGCUAACCCGCAAGGGAGGCAGCUAACCACGGUAGGGUCAGCGACUGGGGUGAAGUCGUAACAAGGUAGCCGUAGGGGAACCUGCGGCUGGAUCACCUCCUUU
rnacentral:rRNA from 1 species